GAUGAACGCUGGCGGCGUGCCUAAUACAUGCAAGUCGAGCGAACAGACGAGGAGCUUGCUCCUCUGACGUUAGCGGCGGACGGGUGAGUAACACGUGGAUAACCUACCUAUAAGACUGGGAUAACUUCGGGAAACCGGAGCUAAUACCGGAUAAUAUAUUGAACCGCAUGGUUCAAUAGUGAAAGACGGUUUUGCUGUCACUUAUAGAUGAUCCGCGCCGCAUUAGCUAGUUGGUAAGGUAACGGCUUACCAAGGCAACGAUGCGUAGCCGACCUGAGAGGGUGAUCGGCCACACUGGAACUGAGACACGGUCCAGACUCCUACGGGAGGCAGCAGUAGGGAAUCUUCCGCAAUGGGCGAAAGCCUGACGGAGCAACGCCGCGUGAGUGAUGAAGGUCUUCGGAUCGUAAAACUCUGUUAUUAGGGAAGAACAAAUGUGUAAGUAACUAUGCACGUCUUGACGGUACCUAAUCAGAAGGCCACGGCUAACUACGUG
rnacentral:rRNA from 1 species